rnacentral:rRNA from 1 species
UAGWSCUCUUAGUUGUUCGGAAUUAGGCUAGUUGGUGAAGGUAAAGGCUCACCAAGGCAACGAUCCGUAGCUGKUCUGAGAGGAUGAUCAGCCACAUCGGRACUGAGGACACGGCCCGAACUCCUACGGGAGGCAGCAGUGGGGAAUAUUGGACAAUGGGGGCAACCCUGAUCCAGCCAUGCCGCGUGUGUGAAGAAGGCCCUCGGGUUGUAAAGCACUUUCAGCGAGGAAGAACGCCUAGCGGUUAAUACCCGCUAGGAAAGACAUCACUCGCAGAAGAAGCACCGGGCUAACUCCGUGCCAGCAGCCGCGGUAAUACGGAGGGUGCAAGCGUUAAUCGGAAUUACUGGGCGUAAAGCGCGCGUAGGUGGCUUGAUAAGCCGGUUGUGAAAGCCCCGGGCUCAACCUGGGAACGGCAUCCGGAACUGUCAAGCUAGAGUGCAGGAGAGGAAGGUAGAAUUCCCGGUGUAGCGGUGAAAUGCGUAGAGAUCGGGAGGAAUACCAGUGGCGAAGGCGGCCUUCUGGACUGACACUGACACUGAGGUGCGAAAGCGUGGGUAGCAAACAGGAUUAGAUACCCUGGUAGUCCACGCCGUAAACGAUGUCGACCAGCCGUUGGGUGCCUAGCGCACUUUGUGGCGAAGUUAACGCGAUAAGUCGACCGCCUGGGGAGUACGGCCGCAAGGUUAAAACUCAAAUGAAUUGACGGGGGCCCGCACAAGCGGUGGAGCAUGUGGUUUAAUUCKAUGCAACGCGAAGAACCUUACCUAYUCUYGACMUCCCUGCKAWUUCGGUAGAGAUACCUUASUGCCUUCGGGAACKCAKAGACAGGCUGCUGCAUSGCUCGYCGUCAGCUUCKUGYUGYGAAAUGUUUGUGKUUWAGUCCCGWAACSRSCGCAMYCCUYKYCCUUACUUYGCCACSCGCGUAMUGGGCGGUGAWCUGUCWAAGGAKAUCKSCCGRYGAMMWACGGKAGGCAA